GUCUGCAGCGCCUGCGGCAAGCCCUGCCGAUCCAAAACUGAGACGGAUCUGCACACCAAGAGGACUGGACACACCGAGUUCGUUGAUAAGACUUUGGAUGUAGCGAAGCCGAUUGAGCUGGAGGCCCCCAAGGCGGCGGUGGCGCCGGAGGACAGCGUCAUGGGCGAAAGCAGCCAGUCGGAAGAGAUGGUUGUCCCAGAGGUUGACAAAAAAAUGCUUGAGGAUCUUGAAUCAAUGGGAUUUGCUACAACCCGUGCAACUAGAGCGCUUCAUUUUUCUGGAAAUAAUGGUGUUGAAGCUGCGAUAAACUGGAUUGCUGAACAUGAAAAUGACCCAGAUAUUGAUCAGAUGCCUCUGGUGCCCGUUAAUACCAAAACUGAAAGUGACAAGCCGGCUUUAACCCCCGAGGAAGUGAAAAAGAAAGCUCAAGAACUAAGGGAACGUGCUCGUAAGAAGAAAGAAGAAGAAGAGAAAAGAAUGGAAAGAGAAAGAGAGAAGGAAAGAGUUCGUGUGGGUAAAGAACUUCUUGAAGCCAAGCGGAUUGAAGAGGACAAUGAGAGAAAAAGAAUAUUGGCAAUGCGAAAAGCAGAGAAAGAAGAGGAGAAAAGGGCAAGAGAGAAAAUCCGUCAGCGUUUAGAGGAGGAUAAGGCUG
rnacentral:misc_RNA from 1 species